AAUGUAGAUUCAAAUCAAAUUAAUAAAGUAUCAAUUUGAUAAUAAAUUAAAUUUUCAUAGUUCGAUGAAGAACUGUUGAAAUCAAGACGUGCACCGAUUAAAGAGUACUAAGAACGUUUAGAACGUUCUUAAGUUUUUGUUUAAGAAUCAACGUAGUGGUAGUGUGCUGAUCGUGUUGAGGGAACAAGUGAUCUAUGUUGUAUAGAAAGAAGACUUGGUUGUUUAUAUUAUCCCGUAAUGUCAUAUCUGUUUUGAUAUAUUGUAAAUGAAUGAUUCGUAUACUGAUAUAUUCAUCAUAGUGCGUUAGAUAUAUACGGUGUUCUCUUGACAAUGUACAUAUUUGAGUAUAACAUCUUCCAAACACAGUUUCUGACAAAUGAUCAACGUUUUGUCACCUACUUAUCCUAAUGAAAAUGCCAUUUUGAGAAACGAAAAAAUGGUAUUUACCUGAUUUAAAUGAUUACUAACAUUGUCUAAGAUGGGUUUGGAAUUAAAACUUACACUCCUUAUUGUUUUAUUUGCUGAGAUUUUUUUUUCAUUUCAUAUUGUAUAUUCAAACUGGUUUAGUCAUUGAUUGAAAAUAACAAAUGUGAUCCUAAAUAUUCUCAUCAUUGUAUAUAUUUAUAGUUUUUUGCCAUGUUUUAUGGUUGUUUAAAAAUUUUCUGAGAUUCUGACACAAUUUUAGGUCUUUAAACUCUGUUUUGUUUUAAUUAAUAUUUUGCUGUAUUAAAGUUUUAUUUUUUCUG
rnacentral:misc_RNA from 1 species